CCAGUCCGAGGAUCCACAUUUCCGAAGACCAAGACUCGGCGGGACGUUAUACCUAUUCUUCUACGCUCCUUGAUCCAUCUUCUCUUCUUCCCUCUGCAGUACACUUGGUGGAUAAA